rnacentral:rRNA from 1 species
UACGUAGGGGGCUAGCGUUGCUCGGAAUCACUGGGCGUAAAGGGUGCGUAGGCGGGUUUUUAAGUCAGGGGUGAAAUCCUGGAGCUCAACUCCAGAACUGCCUUUGAUACUGAAGAUCUCGAGUCCGGGAGAGGUGAGUGGAACUGCGAGUGUAGAGGUGAAAUUCGUAGAUAUUGGGAAGAACACCAGUGGCGAAGGCGGCUAACUGGUCCAGCACUGACGCUGAGGUGCGAAAGCGUGGGGAGCAAACAGG